GCGGUUGCGGUCGUGGAUGCGGUUGCAGGUAUUGCGAUUGCGGCUAAUGCUGACACUGCGAUGCAAUUGCGGCCGUUGCGGCGUGAAAUAAUUUUUUAUCCGCACAAACAUAGAAAAAAUACUNNNNNNNNNNNNNNNNNNNGUUGCGUUGCGGCAUCACGUGUGAUUUGAGUUCACACCGCAAUUGCGGUCCGAUGCGGUUGCAGUGCCUACCGCAUCCGCAAUAUUGCGGCCGCAUCAGGUGAUGCGGUCCGCAAUUUAAAACCUUGGUUGCAAUUACUAUCUCUUGUUGAUUAUUAUAUUUGUUUUGGGCAGGAGAAAAAGAAGAUAGAUGCUGGAAGGGCAAAAUAGUCAAGAUGCAUAAGUUGAACAGACCUUUGAUGUUGAUUAUUAAUAUGGUAAGAUUGCUUUUGAUUAUUUUUUAUUCUACAUUGAUCAUCUUCUAUGAUGCCAUUCAUUUUGGUUUCUAUCUGAAUUUGGUUUAAGCAUAAUAUUGCUUCUUGUGGAUUAUCUGAUAUUUGUUUUCUUUUGCAUCUAUAGGUUAUAAUGCAUAUAUAUGGCAUAAUUUGAGUACCUUGUGAGUUACAUUAUAAUACAUAUACAAAAUAUUCCUAAAAGAAGUUUUUUCAAUAGGAAAGACAUAAAUUUCAAAGAGAAAAUUUAUCUUUAAUUUUUCACUUGUGUUUACAUUAUCAAAAGGACACAACCCACCACAUUUCUUUAUUCACAUGCUAGAUAGCAUGGAUUAUUAUUUUGAAAGGCAUAUAUAGAGGUAGAAUUUCAGUAUUACAUUGGAUAAACUGUAACUGUUUUGUUAUUUGCAUGUACAUGUUGAUUCUAGCAUGUUAAGGGCUGCCACUAUAUAACAACCAUGCUAAAGUCUCCCCUUCCAAUGUUAUAAGAUGAUCCAGCCAUGUUGGAUUUGGACUCCGGUUGUCGCAGCUUCUAGCAACUGUCAAACAUGUUUCUGUUGUAGCAAUUGGUACGUGUUACACCCUCGUUUAAAUUUGUUUUGUGUCUAACCCAAAUCCUUUUGUAUUUGGUUCAGUUUUUUUUUUUUUUUGAGGAAANNNNNNNNNNNNNNNNNNNNNNNCCCGUUUAACUCGCCCCGCAUAAACCCGCAUAUUAAACGGGGCGAACAAGCCCGUCGACAAAUAUAAACGAGUUAUAAUAUUAAGCCUGAGUCCGGUCCGCAUAAGUUCGCGGGUUAAACGGUUAGCCCGCGGACUAUUACAAAAAAAAAAUAAAAAAAUCAUUUUUUUCAAAAAAUAAACUAAAUUAGUAAAAUAUUGAUAUAAUGAAAGCUUAAAAAAAAAUAUUAUUAAUAAUUUUAUGUUAUAACAUAUAAAUUGUAACUAACAAAUAAAAAUAAAUAAAGUUUGUGAUAUCAUUGAGUUUAUCUAUUUUCUCUUUGUAAGUAAUGCAACUAAAAUCAAAUUCAACUGAUUCUUAUCGUUAUUUUUUUACCGUCCAUUUUAGUGAGAAAAACUUUCUACAUGUACCAAAAAAAGCAUAAAAAGAUUAACAGAUUAAACUUAACUAAAUCACAUCAAGGUAACCAAAUUAUUCAAAAUAUAAUAGCGGAAAAUACCCCCAAGAAAAAUAACUACUCAUUUGGACAUGUAUCUUUUAAAUACUAGCAAAUGUAUAUACAGCUAAGACAAAGUAAAAGAUAGUGAAACCUGAUGUUUUGUGUUGUUGUCUACUUAAUUAAAAUUGGAGUGUGUUGUUGCUUUUUAUAAUUAGGGUUGAGACUAGGUCUUUUUUUUUGCUGUUAAAAAAGUUGAAUUUGGACAUGGACCAAGUUAUUUAUAUCUGAUAAAUUUUGUAAUUAAUUAUAUAAAAAAAAACAGGNNNNNNNNNNNNNNNNNNNNNNNNNNNNNNNNNNNNGCGGAUUUAACCCGCAUAACCUGCGGUUUUAACGGUCCAACCCACACGGGCAAAAAUGUAAACGAGCCAAAAAAAUUUGGUCUUAAGUCCGUGCAGGCUGCGGGUUAAAUGGGUCGGCCCGCGAACCUUGGUCCGUAUACCCAGCUCUAAUUUUAACCACUUUGCUUGUUAAAUUUUCUACUUACAUUAUAUUAUGAUGAAACUUUUAAAAAAGUAAAAGGAUAUUUUAUUUAAAAAAUUCUAUUUUUUUGCCCAGAUUAUAUGAAAAAAUCUUAUUUAC
rnacentral:lncRNA from 1 species